rnacentral:lncRNA from 1 species
UCCCCUUCAUGUGGAGAUUCCGAAAGUGGGUGGCCUCCGUGGUGGCUUCAGAAUGACCUUCUCUUAAUCUACGAAGCUCGCCUUCCAUCUUCUUUGACUUCUUUGUCAAGUGAAGGACUUCCUUCUUCAGCCACUGGAUCGUCGACUUCAGCGGGAUCCCCAGGGGCAGGGGAAGUACUUCUGCAGGACACUGCCAUCGGAAGGCAAAAGUGUCAAAGCACGACUCAUCGCAGGAAGAAAAGCAGAGAGAAGAAGGGGAGGGAGGAGAAGCCAUCCGCGAUAAGAAAUUCAACUUUAUUGAUUGGAUAAUUCUUGAAGAUAAAAAAAAAUAAAAAGAAGGAAAAGAAAAAUUGCGAUGAAAUAAAAAUACAAGGUC